GGCGCUAUGGCAGAGUGGUGAUGUAACGGACUGCAACUCCGUGUACCCCGGUUCGAUUCCGGGUGGCGCCUCCA
rnacentral:tRNA from 1 species